rnacentral:snRNA from 1 species
ACAACAUUCCUCAGGAUUGGCU